UCUGUUUAGUUAGUGUGGGUGUCUCUCGACCCCUUCACCCCUCAUUUGAAAAUCCCAUAGACAAGAAAAACUGAAACUCAAUUUCUCAUUACCAUUGUCCAUCUCUCUCAACGAUUCAUAUCUCUUUAUUUGGCAGAUCUCGUUUCUAUCUCCAACGAUUUUUUCUUAGCGAAUCGGGAAAUCAGUUGUUACUUCAAUCUAGGGUUACUAUCUACCUCUCUUGCCUUGAAAACUUUCCACUUUGAUCUUGUGUGAAGAAAUCAAGCUCUCUCUCUAUCUUUAUUGGAUAACCACAUGAAUUUUAUCCAUCUUUAUAUCUCUCGAUUCUUCUCAAAGGAAAAAUUCUGGUCCUGAAUUGCUUGAUUGGGUUCUUGAUGUUGGUCGUAGAGAUUCUAAAGCAAGUGUUCUUCAAUGCUUUCAAGGCUCCCCUGUUGAUGCUUUUCGACAAGCCAUAAUAUUUUUUUCGACAAGCCAUAAUAUCAGAUGAACUAUUACCAGCUAGACAUGAUGACUAUCAUAUGAUGCUAAGAUUUUUGAAAGCAAGGAAGUUUGACACUGAAAAAACUAAGCACAUGUGGGCUGAAAUGAUUCACUGGAGGAAGGAAUUUGGGGCUAACUCCAUAAUGGAGGUAAUUUCUUUUGUCAGCAUCACUGGACUCUGUAGUAGUAUUAAGGUUUCCGUUAGAGUUUUGGAUUCAUGGAUCUCGUUUUUCACUCAGAUGCAGUUUUUGCCUGGUUUUGGUCACUUCUUUCAGUUAUUAGCUUUUGGUGUUGUAGUGAUAUCUCAGUUCUCAAUUCUUAACUAAGACUGCUUGUUUCUACUGCUGACUUAUUAUUAUACCUUUUUUCUUGACAUGAUACAUUGCUCUAGAUGUAGAGUUAAUUGGACUCGCGACGGUGCAUUUCCUUUUUUCUCCCUUAUUAUUAUAUCUUCGAAGUGUUUCAAAUUUUCGGUCUUCUUUUGCUGUAGACGGAAUUUUGCUUCUUGAGGUCAAUAAAAAGAUCAAUGUUGAAUUUUUUUGUUUGAAUUCAAGCUAUGCCUCAUAGUUUGGUGAAAGAUUUCUUGGCCUGUUCCACUUUUGUUUUGUCCAACCAUGAAUUAUUUGGUUCAAUCCCCUUCUUCUUUCCAAAUACAUCACCAAAUAUUUGAGAUGUGUGCGUGAUCAGAAUAGGAAUCAUGUGAUACAAAAAUGUAUCGAAUGGGUUCCAACAAAGGAAAAUUGGAUUAAUAGUUUCCGCAGUUCGUAAUCAAGGUGCAACACCAUCUACACAUCCUUAUGUUUGCAGUGUUGUUCAGGUUGCCCGUUGUUCUUAUUUUCAUUUCAGUUUUGGACACCAACUGUUAAGUUUGUCAGUACUUUUGUUUUACAAUCUUAUUUCUUCUGUCCUCAUAAAACUACUUCACAUCUCUUGUUUCCGAUAGUUCUGGAGUACUGUACAGAUGAGCAGCAAAGUCAGAUUAUAGUAGAGGAGAUUUUGGAAUUUGCACUUCCAAGCUUGUCUAACUGCACUUUAGGUUCACUCAUAAUUUAGAUUUGUCUUUUAGUAUGAUUUAUUGGUUUUUGUUGGAUCUUACUCGGUUAUUGCUACUACUAUUUUGUUUGCAUUUCUUUACAACUAUGAUCAAAUGAUGAUGGUUACUGAGACUAUUUUGUCUUUAAGAGAGAUAUGGAGUUAGAGAUUGCAACAGAAAAGAGCAAUAUGAAGCCUGAUGAGUUGUUGUACAAAGAAGUUGCUUCAAAAAAUCUUCAACAAGUAUAUAAAAGGAUUGAGUUCAUUGGUGUGCUUUCAGUACGGGUCAUCGGGAAGCUUCCAUUUUUGUGGCCUACGGAAUGGUACUUCACAUUAUAGGUUUGUUAAUAUGAAACUCAAUUUAGGUCUGCAGCGUAUUGUGUUACCGAUGAGGAUACUUUCAACAGUUCAAUUGGUGUAUGAAAGAGAUUGACUGAGCGCAAAAUUCACUUUAAGAGGAAGUCCGGGUGCUAUGAAGAAGAGAUCACGGAGGAUAAACCUCAAGAGUUUGUGACAUGACUGUGUUGGUCCAAAUUUUGGUUCAAGCGUUCGCGACAUGAAGUUGCAGGUGUGUGGGUCAAUAGAGUAGAAUUCAAUCAACUUGAGUAUCAUUCGAUCAACUUAAUUUACGGAAAAAUUGGUCUCCAAGUUUCAUUGUUAAUUUCUUUUAGUUGGUACUAAUGAGAAUACUUUUCUAUGAAGUAUAUGGAAUUAUGUAAAUUACAUCAAACAUUGACUUCUUGUAUUCAGUUCGGAAUUUCUAGUUCCUAAUAAUUAAAUCAGUUUUAAAGAGUAAAAAA